rnacentral:rRNA from 1 species
UAGGGAAUCUUCGGCAAUGGACGAAAGUCUGACCGAGCAACGCCGCGUGAGUGAAGAAGGUUUUCGGAUCGUAAAACUCUGUUGUUAGAGAAGAACAAGGACGUUAGUAACUGAACGUCCCCUGACGGUAUCUAACCAGAAAGCCACGGCUAACUACGUGCCAGCAGCCGCGGUAAUACGUAGGUGGCAAGCGUUGUCCGGAUUUAUUGGGCGUAAAGCGAGCGCAGGCGGUUUCUUAAGUCUGAUGUGAAAGCCCCCGGCUCAACCGGGGAGGGUCAUUUGAAACUGGGAGACUUGAGUGCAGAAGAGGAGAGUGGAAUUCCAUGUGUAGCGGUGAAAUGCGUAGAUAUAUGGAGGAACACCAGUGGCGAAGGCUGCUCUCUGGUCUGUAACUGACGCUGAGGCUCGAAAGCGUGGGGAGCAAACAGG